CAGCAGCAAGAUUCAUCUGCGUAGCGUUCUCUGAAGAAAAACCCUAAUCUGAAGAUCCAAUUCAAAGGUAGUGGUCUCCUAUGGGAUACUAAUAAUAAUGGAUCCUGGUCCUGGAGCUGUAGAAAGAAAGAGAUGCGUCGAGUUCGUGACCAAAGUGUAUAAGAUGGUUGAUGAACCUUCGACGGAUUCAAUCAUCUCCUGGGGACCAAACGGCGUCAGUUUCAUAGUUUCGAAACCGCUAGAAUGCUGCAGAGACCUUCUUCCCAAAUACUUAGGACUCAGUAACUUCAUACUAUUUCAAAAUUAUGGGUUUAAAAAAAGUGGUGGAGUCGAGGCAAUUGGAAUACGCAUGCGAAGAUUUCGUGAAAGACCAACCUGAGCGUUUGGAGAAGAUUGGGAAACGCCAAGAGGAGAAGCUUAAUGCGGAUUGUGACAAGCUACAUGAGGCGCGGAUGAAACAAAUGAGAAGCUGCAAGACGGUGCAGGAGUGGGAGUUAGUCCGGAAGAGAAGUUUAAAGGAGAUGUUGUCCAAAAUGGAUGAGAAAUAUUCAAAGGACGUCGAGCGUUUUAUGCAAACUGUUGCAUACGAAAGGGAGUGGAGAAGAGAAGCUUUUCCUAAAGAAUUAGAGGAUCGGCUGCAACUCGUCCUUGACAGCCUCAAAGAUUUGAUCAAUUCUACUAAUGAUCUAGUACAAGUCUGAUUUUGUGCUAUAUGACUCAUCCAUCUUCUUAUAUGUUUCUUUAAUCUUCUUAUCCCCCAUUAUGUCUGUCAUAUGACUCUAUAAUCUCUUACUAUUAUGUAAUUUCUAUCUGUGGAUUUCUCUAAUGUAUGAAGAAGCUAACUGUAGUUGAUUUUGGUUUGGUAAUUGGUUAAAACUG